UGGGGCGUCGUCUAAUAGGCAGGACACAGGAUUUUGGAUCCUGUAGUCGUGGUUCGAAUCCACGCGCCCCAGCCA
rnacentral:tRNA from 2 species